AUGAAACGGGAGUACGAGACGAUAUGGGCGAAACAAAACAAAUUGUUGCUAAUUAUACUUAUAUUCCUGUGAUUUCAAAUACCAAAUGGAACUUCGUAUCUUGUAUGCAUAGCUACUGUCAGUCAUUCCAACAAGUUGACUUAGAGCUCAGUCACUUUCCAUCUAUUAGAUCCUCUUACUGUCAAAAGCCUAAAACUCCUAUUUGAAGCCCACAUAGAGUGGAAUACAAAUAUGAGGAGAUAAGGUAUUUAACCACUAAUGCUACCACACCAACCACACUACGUCAAAUGCCUUACUAAAUCAUCACCCAAAUGAUGAAGGAAAUUUAUCCCACCUGAGGAGUAAUGCUGUUGGCUGCUGUAAUUCCAUUAUUACGGUUUUUCAUCAUGAACAUUUCAGUGUACUUCUUAGAAAAGAGCAUGCAAGAUCCCCACGAACAUCCUUGAGCAAUUGAAUGCUGGAUUUUGUCCAUGACAGAAGAGGGCUUCCACCAACGUUCUGCUCCAUCCUUAUCUUCAAGACGUACGCUCCCUACGCUCACCCAGCUUCACUGCUUCAGUGCUUCUUUGUUGCUUCACUGGCGAGUUAGUUCACUUCAGUUGCUGUGACACACCUGCAGUCACUCACAACGGGAUUAUGGACAGGUAAUGCAGAGGAGACGUCGAGAAGAUGGACACUUAAACAUCUCCGUUAUCUCCAAAAUGUC